rnacentral:rRNA from 1 species
GACGAACGCUGGCGGCGUGCUUAACACAUGCAAGUCGAACGGAAAGGCCCUGCUUUUGUGGGGUGCUCGAGUGGCGAACGGGUGAGUAACACGUGAGUAACCUGCCCUUGACUUUGGGAUAACUUCAGGAAACUGGGGCUAAUACCGGAUAGGAUCUCCUGCUGCAUGGUGGGGGUUGGAAAGUUUCGGCGGUUGGGGAUGGACUCGCGGCUUAUCAGCUUGUUGGUGGGGUAGUGGCUUACCAAGGCUUUGACGGGUAGCCGGCCUGAGAGGGUGACCGGCCACAUGGGGACUGAGAUAGGGCCCAGACUGCUACGGGAGGCAGCAGUGGGGAAUAUUGCACAGUGGGCGGAAGCCAGAGGCAGCAACGCCGCGUGCGGGAUGACGGGCUUCGGGUUGUAAACCGAUUUCGCCUGUGACGAGGCGUGAGUGACGGUAAUGGGUAAAGAAGCACCGGCUAACUACGUG